rnacentral:rRNA from 1 species
AGAACGAACGCUGGCGGCAGGCCUCAAACAUGCAAGUCUAGGGGACGUAGCAAUACGUCACCGGCGGACGGGUGCGUAACACGUGGGAAUAUACCUUUUGGUUCGGAACAACUGAGGGAAACUUCAGCUAAUACCGAAUGUGUCCUUACGGAGAAAGAUUUAUCGCCAAAGGAUUAGCCCGCGUUCGAUUAGCUAGUUGGUGGGGUAAUGGCCUACCAAGGCAACGAUCGAUAGCUGUUCUGAGAGGAAGAUCAGCCACACUGGGACUGAGACACGGCCCAGACUCCUACGGGAGGCAGCAGUUGGGAAUCUUGGACAAUGGGGGAAACCCUGAUCCAGCCAUGCCGCGUGAGUGAUGAAGGCCUUCGGGUUGUAAACUCUUUCGACGGGGACGAUAAUGACGGUACCCGUAGAAGAGCUCCGGCUAACUUCGUGCCAGCAGCCGC